UACGGGGGGGGGCAAGCGUUGUUCGGAAUUACUGGGCGUAAAGGGCUCGUAGGCGGCCAACUAAGUCAGACGUGAAAUCCCUCGGCUUAACCGGGGAACUGCGUCUGAUACUGGAUGGCUUGAGUUUGGGAGAGGGAUGCGGAAUUCCAGGUGUAGCGGUGAAAUGCGUAGAUAUCUGGAGGAACACCGGUGGCGAAGGCGGCAUCCUGGACCAACACUGACGCUGAGUGAGCGAAAAGCGUGGGGAGCGAACAGG
rnacentral:rRNA from 1 species